rnacentral:piRNA from 1 species
UGGAGUUACAGGCAGCCAUGAGUCACUC